GCCGCGAGGCAGAGCAAAACCCUAAAAAAUCGUCUCAGUUCAGAUUGCAGGCUGCAACUCGCCUGCAUGAAGUCGGAAUUGCUAGUAAUCGCAGAUCAGCAUGCUGCGGUGAAUACGUUCCCGGGCCUUGUACACACCGCCCGUCACACCAUGGGAGUCGGUAACACCCGAAGUCGGUAGCCUAACCGUAAGGAGGGCGCCGCCGAAGGUGGGAUUGAUGACUGGGGUGAAGUCGUAACAAGGUAUC
rnacentral:rRNA from 1 species